GUUAGCGUCAAGGAGGACGUUGUCAGGCUUCAGAUCACCAUGGGCAAUGCUUUUUGGUUUGUUGGAGUGGAGGAAGAUAAGUGCUGUGCAGAUAUCAGCUGCAAUUCUGAUGCGCAUUCGCCAUAGGAGUGGCUCGGUGUGGUCCUUGCACUGGAGGCGGUCCUCUAGGCUUCCGUUUGGCAAGAAUUCAUAAACCAGCACUUUCGGAUCUCUGCACACUCCUAUGAGAGUGACAAGAGCUGACUAUUGAAGCCGGUAAUGGUGAUCCAUCCAUACUGUCCGAAUCCUUUAGACUUGAUGAGGAGGACCCUUCAUUGUUUGGGUGGCUGGAGUUCGGAGAGAAGUUUCUUGGUUGCACAUGUAUUGAGUGCUGCGCUGUAUGCAACAUCCUCUCCACAUUGUUUGCUAUCAAUACUGGCGAGGGGUAACUAACUGAAUUUGACCGUCGAGGAAGGAACGGUAGAUCAGGAGAGCCCAUGUAACCAGGAUGCCCUGGUGGCAGUGACACUGAUCUUGCAGGUAAUUCAGGUUCAUCUGACAGAGUGCUUGCAGAACUGCUUCUUGGUGAAUCAGCUUUUAUUGAAUCAAGAUUGCCAUCCCUGAAAAUGAUGAUGAACCACAACAAUAUUGUUUUACCAAUUUGCCCAAAAAAUAAUGGUGGGUUGUUGCUUGAGUUGAGAUUGCUAUAUAAUUGGCUUCAUGCUGCACGGACACAUGAAGGGUUCAUACCUAGUGCAAGCAAGAGACCCUUUAGAAAUGAAGAAUAUCUGGCAAUAAGGUUUGGCCUGUUGAUGCACAAUGGUUGCAACUUUUGACUUGAGCUGGUGGACAUGCAGCAGGCUAACGUUGCGAUCACUACUGAGGAGCCCGAGGUUCUGAGCCGCGCUGAGGUUGGACCUGCCGUCCUUGAAGUCCUUCCCAACGGCCACAUAAACCUUCCCACCGCCAUCAUCGACAACUACGACCGCAGCCUCCUCGGCAAUUUCUUUGAGGCUGACGCUCCGGCUGCUGCUCGUACCGGUUGAGCGGCUGCUCCCUUCGCGCAUGAACAUCCUCCCGUCGUCAGGCUGAGGCGGUGACACUGGUGGCAACGGUGACGAGGGGAAGGAAUGGGGAGAGCCUCCGGUGCUGACCACGGCCAUGUGCAGUGAGGGCUUGCUAUUAUGCUCUACUCCAGCUAGCAACUACCACCAGGGAAGAAGCAAGCUCUUUAUAUAUAUAUUUAUAUAUCUAUGUCAUGUCUGGAGACUGGAGGGAUGAUUCAACUAUAUACCGUUGCUUGCUGGUGGAGGCUAAUGAAAGCAACAAUCAAGCAGAAGAUGGAGGCAAGAAUGAAUCAACAAAACUUAAAGGCCGGUCCUGUCCUAUGUGUGUCUGCAAGGGUUCGUCCAUGCUCUCCUCAGCCUUGCGGUUGGAUUCAUCGUACUGCCACAAGGCAUCUACCACUUUUUGGCUGUGCAGUUAAGAUGUAGUGAUAAACAAAGCCACAAAGCGUUGUGUGCAGGCUCUCGUUUCGGCGAAGAUCCACCACUUUACAGUGCAAGGAAGGACGGUUUGGCUGUGACAAACUGACAAUUGAAGGCAUAGAAUUUUCGGAGAAGUUUCCUGCUGGGAUUGCUAUUGGCCUAUAUUUGUUUUGUUGCCAGUCAACUGCACGGCGAGGUUUCUUCCUGCACAGCUGGAUGCCGGGAAUAUACGGUGUUGGCCUAGUCAUUGAUCCUCUCUUCGCUUGAUCCAUCCAUCCAGCCCUUGGCUGGAACCCACCCCAGUCAGUCCCCCUCUCAUCGGCCUUGGUGGAUGCACGUUUUCCGAGGUUGAUCCACUUGUAGCAUAGGGAUUAGGGAAGGUGCUGCUUGGUAAGGUCAGCGCUUGGAGCUGCUGCUGCUGCCGCCGCCGCCUGUAACCUUUGUUCUGAUCUGCAACUGCAAUGCGUUGGGAUUAAUAAUCUAAUGUGUAGGACACGCUAA